rnacentral:lncRNA from 1 species
AUAGUAUCAAUUUUAAACAGACUCUUUCACAAAGUAGCAGAAGAGGUCUGCUCUCUGUAUAAUGAGGUCAGAUUUACUCUGAUACUAAACAAAAAACAUUACUAGAAAUCUAAGACCAAUACAACUCAUGAACGUAAAUGCAAAAAUUCUUUAAAAAUUUUUUGAGAAAUUGUUGUUCCCCACUUGCUUAGCGGGUUAAGGAUCUGGCAUUGUCACUGCUGUGGCUCUGGUUACACCUGUGGCACAGAUGUGAUCCCUGGCCCAGGAACUUCCAGAUGCCCAGUGUUCAGCCAAAAAACAAAACAACAAACAAACAAAAAGAAGUAUAAUAAAUACAUCAUGACCAAAUACAGAGAAGGCAUUUGAUAAAAACUGAUGCCCACUUAUAACAAAAUCUCUUAGGAAAUUAUGAACAGAAAGGAAGUUCUACAGUCUGAAAUAAGGCAUCUAUGAAAAAACUAUAGCUGACAUCAUACUUAAUAACGAAAGACUGAACGCUUUCCUCCUAUGAUAGGAACAAUGCAAGGAAGUUUGUUCUCAACACUGCUAUCAACAACGUACUAGAAAUCCUAGUUAGUGCAAUAAGGAGAGGGGGUAGCAUAUAGAAGGGAAAAGAAGUAAGACUAUCUUUUUUUGCAGGCAUACUGCAAGCAUGUACAUAGAACACCCUAAGAAUCUAUAAAAAGUUAUUAGAGGAGUUCUCUGGUGGUUUAGCAGAUUAAGGAUCUGGCACUGUCACUGUUGUUCCCUAGCCUAGGAACUUCCACACACUGUGGGCACAGCCGAAAAAAGAUAAAAAAAGUCUCUAUAAAAAUCAAGUAUAUAUCUUAUAUACUGAAAAUAAGUAAUUAGAAAAAGAAAAACUUUAAAUACUACUUGCAAUGGCAUCCAAAAGUGUGAGUGUGAAGUAAACAGGGAUAAAUUUUAUGAAAUAUGUGAAGACCUGUACACUGAAAACUACAAUACAUUGCUAAGAGUAAUCAUCGAAGACCUAAAAAAUGACAAAGUAUACCAUGUUCAUGUAUAAGAUGACUCAAUAGUGUCAAAAUGGCAAUUCUCCCCAGAUCUGUAUAUUCAGUAUAAUUCCAAUUACGAUCCCAGCUGGCUUUGUGUGUGUGUGUGUAAAAAUUGAUAGGCUGAUGCUAAAAUUUGUAAGGAAAUGCACAGGAUCUGUGACAGUUAAACCAAUCUUGAAAGGGAGUUCUAGCUGUGGCUCAGCAGUAAUGGACCUGACUAGUGUCCAUGAGGACGUGGAUUCAAUCCCUGGUCUCGCUCAGUGCGUUGAGGAUCCGGCAUUGCCGUGAGCUGCGGUGUGGGUCCCAGACGUGGCUCAGAUCCUGAGUUGCUGUGGCUGUGUCACAGGCCGGCUACUGUAGCUCGGAUUCGACUCCUAGCCUGGGAACUUCCAAAUGCUGCAGGUGUAGCCCUAAAAAAUAAAAUAUAAUAAAAAUAAUGAAAAAUAAUAAUAAACAAUAAAAAAUGAAAAAGAACCAUAUCAAGGACUGACAAUACCUGACUUUGAGCCUCCCUAUAAAUCUAUAGUAACCAUGAUGGCAUGGUAUUGGCAAAAGGAGAGGAGAUAUACAGGAUGUGUGUCUACCAUUCUCUUUUUUUUUUUUUUUUUGUCUUUUUUCUAGGGCCACAGCCGCAGCAUAUGGAGGUUCCCAGGCUAGGGGUCUAAUAGGAGCUAUAGCUGCUGGCCUAGCCAGAGCCACAGCAACUGGGGAUCCGAGCUGCGUCUGUGACCUACACCACAGCUCAUGGCAACACCAGAUCCUUAACCCACUGAGCAAGGCCAGGGAUCAAACCCACAACCUCAUAGUUCCUAGUUGGAUUCGUUAACCACUGAGCCACGACGGGAACUC